rnacentral:rRNA from 1 species
AGAUUGAACGCUGGCGGCAUGCUUUACACAUGCAAGUCGUGCGGCAGCGCGGGGGCAACCCUGGCGGCGAGCGGCGAACGGGUGAGGAAUACAUCGGAACGUACCCCGGAGUGGGGGAUAACCCAGCGAAAGUUGGACUAAUACCGCAUAUGCUCUGAGGAGGAAAGCAGGGGACUUCGCAAGAAACCUUGCGCUCUGGGAGCGGCCGAUGUCCGAUUAGCUAGUUGGUGGGUAAUGGCUCACCAAGGCGACGAUCGGUAGCUGGUCUGAGAGGAUGAUCAGCCACACUGGGACUGAGACACGGCCCAGACUCCUACGGGAGGCAGCAGUGGGAAUUUUGGACAAGUGGGGCAACCCUGAUCCAGCCAUCGCCGCGUGCGGAAGAGGCCGUUCGGUGUAACCGUCGUUUGGUCGGAAGUAAGGCGAGGCGUUGAAGUACGGCCGUGU